rnacentral:tRNA from 1 species
AAGACACUAGUAAAAUUAAAUUACGCGGCCUUGUCAGGGCCGAGUUGUGAGCUGGCUCCUCACGUGUCUUAUU